AAGGCAUGUGGCAGUGUUCUCCUUUGAAAACAAAAGAAACCUGUUUUACUAGAUGUAUUGGUGUUCAUGAGCUUCUCAAGUGUGAUGCUUGAAAAGCAGCAAGAACCACAUUGCUCUCUGCCACAGCUAAGGACACAAACCGCAUUGCUGUCUGCCACAGCCAAGGAAACUCCAGGCGACUUCUGGUUUCAUAAAUACAUGGCAUAUUUGUGAGAACAUCCCUGGAAGUAGGCCGCCUGGAAUUCUUGGAAGGGGAAAGCAUAAGCAAUGGCUUUCAGACCUCCUGACCUCAGAGGUGACAGAUAAUUGCUGGUGUGUCCCCAAAGGACAUGAAUUCUGAAAACUUCAAAAGCCAGGGAAGCUUCCUGCACUGUAAACAGCCCAUUUACAUUUCUGAAGACAAUGACAGUACAGGGGAAAUAAUGAGAAUAUGUCUUUCACACAAGCAAUGAAGUUUACAAAGAAAGUAACCACCAUACUUUCACUUAAAUGAUUUGCAUUCUCUGAAAUAAGCAUCUCACUUAAAACAACACACACACACAAAAUAAAACUUUACCAUCCAUCUUCUGAACAAAUCAGGAACUGAAAGUCUCAGACUGCUUCCUAAGACUUGAGUCUCUUGAUAUUGCUGAAGAAAUGGUAGCAAAAGGAAGAGGUGACUAUCCAAGGAGACUUAGCAGUCUCACCUAAGAUCUCCCCAUGCCAAACAGAACGUCUCCCUCUCUCUGCUCCUCCCCUCUCCUCUUACCACUGUUGUACAGAGCUAAUGCUGGAGUGGAAAAGGUCUUCUCAUGUGGACUGUGUCUCUGUGGAGCUUUAUAAUUAGUUUGUUCUUUGGUGCUAAUAUGAAACCUGCAGUUGGCUGACUAUCUCUUUUCUUUGAACAUAAGCAGCCUCCCUCUGCUUUGACCUUAUACUGGGUUUCAUUCUGUUGUACUCACACAGGAAUGUGUGGUGGGGACUAGAACUCCAGCUUUAGGCCCGCCUCCUGAAAUGAUGACCUCAACACAGAGCUCUGGGGUUUCACCUCUGUGUAGUUUGGGAACACCCGUAAACAUUCGAGCAUGCUUGUUUUCUCUCUGCACUGUUUACAGCAGUCAGGGAUGUACAUGUCAUUACUUCUCGUUACUGUUAAAUACAAAGAAUAUACUGUACAAUCAACUCCAGGAGCAGCCAGGAAAGAUCUGUGGUUGCACAGCUGAAGGUUGGUGCUAGGCCAACACUCUUACACGUGAAUCCUCCACAUCUCGGUGAAAAGAACCAGGAUGUGUCUAGCUGCAAGCAAAGGUAGAACCAAUUUUGUAUUCUCUUAAUAUCAGUGUAACACCAGGGGUUUAAAUGGUCUCCCUUUAACCCACCAAUCCCAACUGAUAGCAAAAUGAAAUGACUUUAUGACACUGGACACAUGGAAGUGUGUGCUCUAAAUCAGUUACUUUAGAGCACUGUCCCAAUUUUAAAUUUCAUUGACUUGGAGAGAAGACUUGUAUGGCUCAGGUUGCUGACCUUCCUUGUUGAGGAAGGAUUCAAUACCUUGAGCUAAAUACCACUGCUCAUAACAAGUGGCCAAAGCACAUUCCACAGAAUGUAUUUGUUUUCAUUUAGUAAAUCUGAAAAGAAAUAGAAGACACAGUGAGGGAACAAUUUGAUAUCCAGUGCGACAAUGUUGUGGACACAGUAGUAAUGCUUCAGCGUCAGGUCUGUGGUUUCCUUAAACACAGAAUUUAGACUGGGCUAUGGUUAUUUGCAUGCGUGACCUUAUUGAUAAGGACAAUAUUACCCACUGGUGGAGUCCUGAGCAAAAGAGAGGAAAGCAGGAUGACAGAUGUACAUGUGACUGCAGCUCCCACUAUAUCCAUGGAGACACUUCUACCAGCUUGCAUACAUGUCCCUCUGCAUUGGAAUUUAUCCGUGUAGUCACCGGUAGGAGCAAAUACACUUACACCCAAAAAAUCUACAGCUUUUGGAGACUGUCUUUCUCAUGACACACAGAGGCAGGUGUCACACACACACCCUGCCCCAAAGCCCUAACAAGAAGAGUAAAAAGAAUGUGUAGCAGGAAAUAGUUCUACCUUGACAAGCGCCGUGUGACUCAGCUUCGUUUGGUCAGAAGCUGUAAUUUCCUGUCCUGGCCCAGUGUUUCCCUUACCAUGAGCUGUGCUGGUCCUCAGGAGAAGCAGCAGCAAACACCACUACUCGCUAAGGGAUAAUCCAUCUCUCACAAUCUCCCAGCACACUCUGGCUUGCUUGAUGCCUGAAGAGGUGGAGUAAAUGGAAAGGCCAUGUGGUGGUGUGGAGCAAACAGGCUUGAGAAACUCCCAACCCUGGGCUUGAACUGGCAGCUUUUGAAUUGGUUGAGAGACUACUUCACAUUUAUGGUCCUCCCGGGCUUUCUCUCUGUAUAAAGAGACUGCAAUACUGCUCUCCAAGCUAACUGCAAGCACUAAAAUGGAGACAUAUCGCCUGCAUUAUGGUGUAUGUUGUGAGACAAGCACGAAGAAGGUGGUCAAGUUCAUCUGGUAUGUGUAGCAAGGGUAUGGCAAACCCUACUGAAAACAUAAUUCGGAGCUGAAAGCACGGCUUCUCACUUGAAGCAGCCUUUCAAAAAUUCCACCAGUCGAUUUCUGAUCUUUCAAAGAAUUGCAGCAAGAAGGGAGGCAGCUGGGACUCCAGAUCAAGCCCCUUCCAUGUUAAUUAGUAAUGGGAAAGUACAGUAACGUAUGGGUCUCUGCCUCCUUAUCAAUAUGAUACCAGUGGCACAGAUACAAUGGAAGCAAACACACAAAAUUAUAUUUGAAAAGGCAGGGCAUACUUUUCCAUGCAAAUGAUAGAUGAUGAAAGGGGAAAAAAAUGUCAUGCAAUUGAAUGAGCAGCAGUUAAUUAUUCUUCAAAGUGUUCCAAAGGCUCUGAUCUUAAUUAAAGGGUUAAAAGUACUAAGGUGAGUCCCUUGCUUCUCUGCUGUUUAGCCCUUUCAUGCCUGAAUGUUAUUCUAAUUUUGGUUUGUACAAAUACAAACAUGACAUUCCCAAAGCCCUGACGUGCCUUGAGGUCUUUUCAUGCUUCCAAAUCUCACUCCAAACCCUUCCCUUUCUCUUGACUUUGCAGAUCCAAGUUCUGGAGAACUUUUCACUCUUCCUCUAGGGUCACAAAUCACCGGAGGGCUAAUACCAGCAUUCUGUGAUCUCAGGCAAGUAGAAGUAUCUCUAGCUGUACUUUAGCACAGUACAUAAGGAGGUACUUGGUACUUUAACCCUCAGCCUAAUUCUACUCACUUAUAGAUACUUAGGAUUCUUGAGCAGAUUCAUUCUUGGGUGCUGUAAAAACAGUGUUACUUGAGUUGCUCUCUGUCUGGUAAGUUAGGAAUAGUAGGUGAUGGCUGAUUUGUCUUCUUUCAUCUUUUGGCUAAAUUCCAUUUAUCUCAUUUGCAAAAUCCCAUGGAUAAAAAAUGAAAUCCCAGGGGUAUGUUUACCUUUGUGUUGUUACUUACAGUUCUUCCUUGGUUUUGGUUAAUCUCUCUUGGGAGGGGAAUGUGUGCCAUGCCAUAGAUGGGGAGAGUAGAGGACGUUGUGAAGAAGUCAUUUGUCCCCUCCCACUAUUCACAAGUUUCAGGGAUCAAACUUGAGUUGUUACCCUUGGUGACAAAUGCCUUUACCUACUGUUCCAUCCUGCCGACUCUACCUGGUCAUUUUGACAUAAAAUAUCCUCUGAGACCAUCAUUUUUGGGAGAGAAAAGCUUGUGUUACAAAUGGAAAAUCCUAUGAAAUGUGUUCAUUUAACUAAAGUAAAAAUAUACGGGCUAGGCAAGAAGCUAAUAGAGGAGAGGGCUAGAUUAAACCAGUGUUGACUUCUGUCGUUUAAAGUUUACAAUGACAUAGGGAAAAAUGUACUGAUGAAGACACAACUGGGCUAUGUACAUGGAAACUAAUUGGAAGCAGCUGAAACGGUAAGAGAAAAAUGAUCUCCUUGGACAGCUUCCUUUAUUGUGGGUGGCCUAGUUUGUCAGGUCCCUGUAGCCUCCCCAGAUCUGUGUCCCAAAGGCUGAAUUGCAACAUAUACCUAACAUUAAAAAAAGAAGAGUCCACAUCUACAAAAGAUAUGUGUGCUUCCCCAGCUUAGGCGGCUAUUAAAUAAAAUCAUGAAAUUCUAAGUAAACCAUUCAAUGGCUCAUCUUGCUUUCUCAUACUAUUUUGUGUGCAUGGAGAUGAGGUCCUCACGAGCCACAUGUGUGUACCUCCUUUAGGAUAACUGACAUGGAUUCGAGACAAGAGAUAAGCAUAGUAAGCAAGUCAUGUGUGAGUAACGUAACGAGUUCAUGUGCUACCAAAAUGCAUUCAAGAUUGACGCCCUGGGACACACAGCCACCAACGUUCUCAAUGUCUACUCCUUCACUUUCACAAGGAACUUCCAUCGUUUCACUGGUGACAAUCAUGUGAAUUCUACUAUCUGACAGAGACCCAUCCUUCUCCUAACCAUCUAUGGCUUCCAGAGUACAAGGCGAGAAAUUACUAAGAUGAUUUCCUGAAAUUAAGGCAAAAAAAUAUGAAACUGAUUGAGGUCAAGCGAACCGAUAGAUAGAUAUUUACUACAUCAUGACUCCUUGAACUCGUUUGAAUUCCUAAAGAUUGAAGGAAGAUAUACUAAGAUAAUGUUGAUUCAAUCAAUUCUUGCCUCAUUCUAACUCUAGGAAAAAAUAUAAGCCCCUGAAAACACUAUCAUUAAGCAAGGCAUGGUGGGAAACAAAGAGAGACAGAUCUCUAGAGUUCAGAGUCUAUCCAGAUCUACAAAGAGCCAGAGCUGCAUAGAGAAACUCUGUCACUAAAAACCAAAUAUGUAAACAAGUAAAAUUAAAAGGCAAAAAGAAGAAAGAAAACAUCAUCAUUAUUCUGUGAAAUUAAAAAAAAAUACCAGUAAAUUUCACUUUUUGAAUUAGUCCCCAAGAAGAGAACCCAAAAGAGAAAUAUAAUUUCCUGCAAAACUAAAGCGCCACUGAAGGCCGAAAUACCAAGAAACCACACAAACUGGCCCAAGAAUAGUUGAACAAAGCAGAGCACAUUAAUAUAAUUUACCACAUGACUUUCACGGGCAAUUCAGUGUCUAGAAGCAUACAAAAUGGUACAGUUAUGAAAGGUAAGAGACAUGGGAUAGAGUGACUGACUUUAAGAAGGGUUAAAUUGUUCUCUUGGUGGCAGAGGGCAUCUUAGCAUCUGUUAGAAUCACCUUCAGCCUUUCUUCAUGUGACAUGGAAUGGGUCAGCACCCAACAAGUCCUUAGCACCUAAAGGGAAGACCACUGAGUUGUCUGCUCCCUGUUUGACCAUGCAUGGAGAGAGUCAUGGGUUACUGUCUGUUUCUAGAUAGACCUCCACACAGACUUUACCUGGCUUGGAUAUAUCUAAUAUUCAUUUGGUACAUCUCUGGGAGAAUGAAGGCACGCCAUAUGGUAAGAUAUAAUAAUUCCAUUUCCCCACUGUGUGGCAUUUCCACCCCAGUAGGUCUCUCACAGCCCCCCAGAAGUCCCCUUAUGCAGUCAAGUAUCUAUCAUGACCUAUUGGACUGAGAACAGGAAAGUUAACACAUCUCACUCCAUUUUACUUUAUACCAGAAAGUCAAGUGCCAGAAUGUUAAACAAAAUAACUUGGCCAACCUUAAAGAAACAGUGUUUGAGGAGAUAGACAUGUGUACCUUGAUUUGAAUAUUAUACAUAGUUGAGAACAGUGUCUCUCAGCUUCCCUAAUGCUGUAACCCUUUAAUUGUUCCUCACGUUGUAGUGACCCCUAACCAUAAGAUUAUUUUUGUUGCUACUUCAUAACUGUAAUUUUUCUACAGGUAUUAGAGAUAAUGUAAAUGUCUAUGUUUUCUGAUGGUCUUAGGUGACUCUGGUGAAAGAGUCAUUUGACCCCAAAGGGGUUGUGACCCACAGGUUGUGACCCACUAGUCUAUGUUUUCAAAAACAUCUCCUUGUACUCUAUAAGUGUGUAUAAUUUUUAUGGAGAAUUAAAAAUGUAAAUAAAUGACUCAAUCAAAACAUGGGAGGUGGCUGGUGAAAUUGCACAUAUUUGAAAUGUCAGUUGAUAGUGAAGUCAAACAGGGCAUUAUUAAGGAAUCUGACAAACUCAUUCCAAUCCUUUUUAAAAGAACCCAAACUCUUAGCAUUUCAAUACUCCACUGAAAUAGUGGGUAGGGUUUUUAUUUAAUCAAAUUGCCAAGAAAACAAAGCUGUAGACCAGAAGAGUCUAAGAAAGUAUCUGCUUCAGGUCCCUGAACCUAGUUGUAGUUCUAGAGUGAGUAUUUAGCUCAGAUUCCUAAGAACACCACAUUCUUCUCUUUGGAAAGGGGCUCCUAAGGCUGCAUCUCGACUUUGCUCAAACACUUCAAGCCCGACGCAGUCACAGCUCUGAACAGUGCGUUCCACAGUUAGGUCUGUUCAGCUGUUUGUAACAUUCUUUCUUAAGUUGAUCCAAAAUUUGCCUCCCUCUGAACUUCAGACCAUUCAUCUUAGCUUUUCACUCUGGAGCCAGAGUACAAGUCCACUUUCUUCUCUGUAUCACAGAGUCUGCGCUAAGUGAGGGCAACUGUCCUAUCACCUCCCAUCUGGCCUUUGUGCCUUCGGCUGCUCUGCACAGCUUUCCCCUUCACCUCUAGAGAGAUAUUCCAUUUUACAAACUUCAGCUCACAAUGGUUCCUUUAACACUUUUAAAAUUAUAGUACCGGAAGUUAAACUGUACUCCACACACAGUCUAAACAGCACAGGACUUGGACAUGUGAUUAAUUUCUGAAUGUGAGACACUGUGCUUUUAUUAAUCGAGUCCAACAUCAGCACCCCUCUGUUGUUGGCUCAUACUGACCUGCAUCCAAUCCAAACACCUGGAUCUUUUCACACUUAUGUAAUUGGUGUUUUUCAUUCCACCAGUCACUCAACAAAUAUUGCCUCCAAGAAAAUUAUUUCCACACUAAAAUCUGACAAGUUUCCAUAAGAUGAUUGAGAGACAAAUAGACCAAGUAAACACAAGGAAUUUUGACCUAGCAUUGAACCUGAAUUUUACUUCUCCACGAAUUUAAAAGCCAUAUAAUUCAUCAGUGAGUUGUUAAAGGCAACUAGAUUCAAUAGUAAGUGAACCUGGAACACACUGGACAAAUGAGGCUAAAUUGAGUCACAUUUCAGUUGUGUGGGAAAAUGAGUCUGUUCGGAGGGGCCCUGUGGAGAUUCAUGAAUACUUGAUCCUAUCAACAGCUUGAUAAUCAGUGGAAACAAAUCUUUAGCUGUGAGUCAGAAUAUUCCAUAUUUAGAAAUUAUGUAGAUAGUGUUCACUGUUACUUUCUUUAGAAUAAGCCAGAUAUGCCCGAUAGUUUUAAAACAACUGGACACAACUUAGCAUCACCUGUGAAGAAAGUUUUGUUGGGGAUUGCCAGUAUUAGGUUGGCUUGUGAGCAUGUCUGUAGGGAAUUAUCUUAAUUGAUGUAGGAGAACUCAGCUCACUGUAGACAGCACCAUUCCUAGGUAAGAGGGCCUGAGCUCUAUAAAAGUGGACUACCAGAGCUGAGCCCACGCAGGUGAGCAACAUGUAUGCCUUCAUUUGUUUCAGGCCUUGAUGUGGAUGUGGUGUGACUAGUCGGGCAAGUCCCCAUUGCCUUGACUUCCUCAAGUGAUGAACUAUAAACAUGGAAUUAUGAAUCAAAUAAACUCUCCCCUCCCCUGUGCUGCUUUUUUUAUUUUUAAUAACAUCAACAGAAAUGAAACUAAAACACAAAAGUAGAAUUCCUUGAUUUUUCAUGUACCACAGAUUCAUAAACAUAGAUAUAUUCCUACUGAAUACAAUCCCAAAUACUCAUGUGUUUCCCAGAAAAGUCCUAAGCCACCAAAAUUGCCAGAUGUAGCCUUCACAAUGUAAACAUUAUGUUUCAACAAGAUGCUUUUGUUUUAUUCUUUAUUAAUUAGAUUCAUCCUUUCAAAAUUUCAUAAAUGUGUACAACACAUUCUCUGAUCUCCCAUCCAUGCCUGUCUGCUUUCCCUGACUGUAACGGGACCAGUGCACAUAACCACAACUGCUGAGUUUACCACCACAAUGCCCAGAUGUCUAUUUGCAGCCCAUCUCUCUAUUUUCUGAAGAUACUUUUAUUCAUUUGGGUGAUCAUUUGUUAAGAAUCAAAGCUUUAACUCGUCUUUUGUUUUAAUUGUUAUCCAGUCCGUCAAUUAUUGAAUCAGUGCAAGCUCUCGGCUAGGCAGGAUGAGUGGAAUCUGCCAAGCCUAGGCUAUUUUUUACACGAUGAGAACAGAGGCCUGGGGAAUCAGAUUCACCCAGCAGCACACGUGCUCACUCUGGGUGCCCUGGUAAGCAGAGAAAGUGGAUGAAGCACCAGAAACUGGCCUCAAACAGGGGAGAGCAAACUGAGAAGAGAAAGCACAGGUGAGCAAAAGGUAACUGACUCCGAAUGAAGCUGUCCAAGGUGAAGUUCUAUGACGUUCCAUUAGUUCUGUUGUCUGAGGUAGGGGAUUAGUGGAACAGUAGGGAGAAAGGUGAGAAGAGAAGUUAGAAGAUGGACA